UGAGACCCCUUCUCCCCUCACAGAGCUACAAUUUCCAGAGUAGUUUAACAACCAGUCCCUCUUCUCAGGGAACUCUGGAGACUGUAGCUCUGUGAGGGGAAAAGGAGUCUC